rnacentral:rRNA from 1 species
AUUGAACGCUGGCGGCAUGCCUUACACAUGCAAGUCGAACGGCAGCACGGGAGCAAUCCUGGUGGCGAGUGGCGAACGGGUGAGUAAAGUAUCGGAACGUGCCCAGUCGUGGGGGAUAACGUAGCGAAAGUUACGCUAAUACCGCAUACGAUCUAUGGAUGAAAGCGGGGGAUCGCAAGACCUCGCGCGAUUGGAGCGGCCGAUAUCAGAUUAGGUAGUUGGUAGGGUAAAGGCCUACCAAGCCGGCGAUCUGUAGCUGGUCUGAGAGGAUGAUCAGCCACACUGGGACUGAGACACGGCCCAGACUCCUACGGGAGGCAGCAGUGGGGAAUUUUGGACAAUGGGCGCAAGCCUGAUCCAGCCAUUCCGCGUGCAGGAUGAAGGCCUUCGGGUUGUAAACUGCUUUUGUACAGAACGAAAAGGCUCUGGUUAAUACCCGGGGCUCAUGACGGUACUGUAAGAAUAAGCACCGGCUAACUACGUGCCAGCCGCCGCCGUAA